rnacentral:rRNA from 1 species
UACGGGAGGCAGCAGGGGGGAAUAUUGCACAAUGGGCGCAAGCCUGAUGCAGCCAUGCCGCGUGUAUGAAGAAGGCCUUCGGGUUGUAAAGUACUUUCAGUCGUGAGGAAGGUGUUAAGGUUAAUAACCUUAGCAAUUGACGUUAGCGACAGAAGAAGCACCGGCUAACUCCGUGCCAGCAGCCGCGGUAAUACGGAGGGUGCGAGCGUUAAUCGGAAUUACUGGGCGUAAAGGGCACGCAGGCGGUUAAUUAAGUUGGAUGUGAAAUCCCCGGGCUUAACCUGGGAAUGGCAUUCAAGACUGGUUAGCUAGAGUCUUGUAGAGGGGGUAGAAUUCCAUGUGUAGCGGUGAAAUGCGUAGAGAUGUGGAGGAAUACCGGUGGCGAAAGGCGGCCCCUGGACAAAGACUGACGCUCAUGUGCGAAAGCGUGGGGAGCAAAACAGGGAUUAGAUACC